rnacentral:rRNA from 1 species
CGGUCUCUUCGGCAGUGCCGUGGCAGACGGCUGAGUAAGGCAUGGUAAUCUACCGUUCUCUACGGAAUAACUCGGGGAAACUUGUGCUAAUACCGUAUACGCGCUUUUGGGGAAAGAUUUAUGGGAGAAUGAUGAGCCCAUGUUGGAUUAGCUAGUUGGUAGGGUAAAGGCCUACCAAGGCGACGAUCCGUAACUGGUCUGAGAGGAUGAUCAUCCACACUGGGACUGAGACACAGACCCCACUCCUACGGGAGGCAACAGUGGGGAAUAUUGGACAAUGGGCGCAAGCCUGAUCCAUCCAUGCCGGGUGAGUGAUGAAAGCCCUACGGUUGUAAAGCUCUUUCACCGGUGAAUAUAAUGACGGUUACCGGAGAAGAAGCCCCGGCUAACUUCGUGCCAACUGCCGCGGUGAUACGAAGGGGGCUAGCGUUGUUCGGAUUUACUGGGCGUACAGCGCACGUAGGCGGACUUUUAAGUCAUGGGUGAAAUCCCGGGGCUCAACCCCCGAACUGCCUUUGAUACUGGAAGUCUUGAGUAUGGAAGAGGUGAGUGGAAUUGCGAGUGUAUACGUGAAGUUCGUAAAUAUUCGCAAGAACACCAGUGGCGAAGGCGGCUCACUGGUCGAUUACUGACGCUGAGGUGCGAAAGCGUGGGGAGCAGACGGAUUAGAUACCCUGGUAGUCCACGACGUAAACGAUGAAUGUUAGCCGUCAGGGUGUUUACACUUCGGUGGCGCAGCUAACGCAUUAUACAUUCCGCCUGGGGAGCACAGUCACUGGAUUAACACUCAUAGGAAUUGACGGGGGU